CAAACGACUCUCGGCAACGGAUAUCUCGGCUCUUGCAUCGAUGAAGAACGUAGCGAAAUGCGAUACUUGGUGUGAAUUGCAGAAUCCCGUGAACCAUCGAGUUUUUGAACGCAAGUUGCGCCUGAGGCCUUUAGGUCGAGGGCACGUCUGCCUGGGCGUCACAU
rnacentral:rRNA from 1 species